rnacentral:rRNA from 1 species
AUUGAACGCUGGCGGCAGGCCUAACACAUGCAAGUCGAGCGGUAGAGAGAAGCUUGCUUCUCUUGAGAGCGGCGGACGGGUGAGUAAUGCCUAGGAAUCUGCCUGGUAGUGGGGGAUAACGUUCGGAAACGGACGCUAAUACCGCAUACGUCCUACGGGAGAAAGCAGGGGACCUUCGGGCCUUGCGCUAUCAGAUGAGCCUAGGUCGGAUUAGCUAGUUGGUGAGGUAAUGGCUCACCAAGGCGACGAUCCGUAACUGGUCUGAGAGGAUGAUCAGUCACACUGGAACUGAGACACGGUCCAGACUCCUACGGGAGGCAGCAGUGGGGAAUAUUGGACAAUGGGCGAAAGCCUGAUCCAGCCAUGCCGCGUGUGUGAAGAAGGUCUUCGGAUUGUAAAGCACUUUAAGUUGGGAGGAAGGGCAGUAAAUUAAUACUUUGCUGUUUUGACGUUACCGACAGAAUAAGCACCGGCUAACUCUGUGCCAGCAGCCGCGGUAAUACAGAGGGUGCAAGCGUUAAUCGGAAUUACUGGGCGUAAAGCGCGCGUAGGUGGUUUGUUAAGUUGGAUGUGAAAAUCCCGGGCUCAACCUGGGGACUGCAUUCCAAACUGACUGACUAGAGUAUGGUGAGGGGGGUGGGAUUCCCUGGGAAGCGGGGAAAUGCGUAGAAAUAGGAAGGACCCCCAGGGGCGAAGCGGACCACCUGGAUUAAUACUGACACCGAGGUGGCGAAAGGCGUGGGGAGCAAACAGGAUAAGAUACCCUGGUAGUCCACGCCGUAAACGAUGUCAACUAGCCGUUGGAAGCCUUGAGCUUUUAGUGGCGCAGCUAACGCAUUAAGUUGACCGCCUGGGGAGUACGGCCGCAAGGUUAAAACUCAAAUGAAUUGACGGGGGCCCGCACAAGCGGUGGAGCAUGUGGUUUAAUUCGAAGCAACGCGAAGAACCUUACCAGGCCUUGACAUCCAAUGAACUUUCUAGAGAUAGAUUGGUGCCUUCGGGAACAUUGAGACAGGUGCUGCAUGGCUGUCGUCAGCUCGUGUCGUGAGAUGUUGGGUUAAGUCCCGUAACGAGCGCAACCCUUGUCCUUAGUUACCAGCACGUAAUGGUGGGCACUCUAAGGAGACUGCCGGUGACAAACCGGAGGAAGGUGGGGAUGACGUCAAGUCAUCAUGGCCCUUACGGCCUGGGCUACACACGUGCUACAAUGGUCGGUACAGAGGGUUGCCAAGCCGCGAGGUGGAGCUAAUCCCACAAAACCGAUCGUAGUCCGGAUCGCAGUCUGCAACUCGACUGUGUGAAGUCGGAAUCGCUAGUAAUCGCGAAUCAGAAUGUCGCGGUGAAUACGUUCCCGGGCCU